UACAUUCUUUACUUUUGGCUACCUCUAGCAUUUCACGUUCUUUACUUUCCAUAUUGCGUUAACUUUAAGCAUUAUCAUUUUCAGCAUUCUUUACAUUACAUUGGUUCUUUACCUCACACUAUCUCUAGUGUCUCGUUACUUUACAUUUUCAAAUGCCACUCGAUCUAUGUCAUUGUGCCACUCUGUUCUUUUGCUCACUUUGGGUACUCACAUUUUCUCUCAUGCAUACAUCUAGGGUUUUGACAUUAUUAGGUUCUCAACCAUCUCAUUAUGCAAGUUGUGCUCACAAUCAUGCAAUCAUCACAUUUCCUCAUUAC
rnacentral:lncRNA from 1 species